UACGUAGGGCGCGAGCGUUGUCCGGAAUUAUUGGGCGUAAAGAGCUCGUAGGCGGCCGGUUGCGUCUGCUGUGAAAUCCCGGGGCUUAACCCCGGGCGUGCAGUGGAUACGGGCCGGCUGGAGGCAGGCAGGGGAGAAUGGAAUUCCCGGUGUAGCGGUGAAAUGCGCAGAUAUCGGGAGGAACACCGGUGGCGAAGGCGGGUCUCUGGGCCGAUACUGACGCUGAGGAGCGAAAGCGUGGGGAGCAAACAGG
rnacentral:rRNA from 1 species